UACGUAGGGUGCGAGCGUUGUCCGGAAUUAUUGGGCGUAAAGGGCUCGUAGGCGGUCUGUUGCGUCGGGAGUGAAAACUCAGGGCUUAACCCUGAGCCUGCUUCCGAUACGGGCAGACUAGAGGUAUGCAGGGGGGAACGGAAUUCCUGGUGUAGCGGUGAAAUGCGCAGAUAUCAGGAGGAACACCGGUGGCGAAGGCGGUUCUCUGGGCAUUACCUGACGCUGAGGAGCGAAAGUGUGGGGAGCGAACAGG
rnacentral:rRNA from 1 species